AUCCAGCUGACUAGUCCUAAAUAGGACGAAACGUGUGUCAAACUGGAU
rfam:Schistosoma margrebowiei strain Zambia genome assembly, scaffold: SMRZ_contig0001885